rnacentral:rRNA from 1 species
UACGUAGGGGGCAAGCGUUGUCCGGAAUUAUUGGGCGUAAAGCGCGCGCAGGCGGUUUUUUAAGUCUGGUGUCUAAGUGCGGGGCUCAACCCCGUGACGCACUGGAAACUGGGGAACUUGAGUGCAGAAGAGGAGAGCAGAAUUCCACGUGUAGCGGUGAAAUGCGUAGAGAUGUGGAGGAACACCAGUGGCGAAGGCGGCUCUCUGGCCUGUAACUGACGCUGAGGCGCGAAAGCGUGGGGAGCAAACAGG